rnacentral:ncRNA from 1 species
GUCAGCAGCUUCGCAAUGUACGGUAUCAACGGCAGAUUCAGGAUCAACAACACAAAAUUUCCGAUAUACAUCGAGAUGAUCACCGCCCAAAAUACCUCAGGCUGUUCCUCGAUCAUCCGAGGUC